AGGUUUUACCUGGCAAGAUGAUUAUACCCAGCAUGUUAUUGGUCAGGAACUCUCAACCAUUCACAAAAUCCACAGCAGGCGCCCUGAUGUAUUUGCAUCUGAAGGAUCUGACACAGCAAGGACUUUGGGACAGAAUGAAAAUAAUGAAAGAAAUUAUGAUGUGGAAAAUAAUGUGAACUUGGCCAAGUCUCUUCAGCAAUACCUUAAAUAUCUCAGAAUUCUCUCACAAUCUGCAUCUAAAAAUUUGUAUCCAAGGAAGACAAGUGACAAAGCUUCUGUCAAGAGCUACAUCUCCAAUGACCCUACGAGGUACUACACCAGGCAGAACCCCAAAGAGCCAUCCCCUGCUCUGGCCCGUGCACCCAAAUCCCAGCAGGAGCUCCCUGAGGGUGCCCGUGGCAGGACGCUCCGCCAGCGCCAGCCGGACAAGCU